rnacentral:rRNA from 1 species
AUUGAACGCUGGCGGCAGGCCUAACACAUGCAAGUCGAGCGGUAGAGAGGUGCUUGCAUCUCUUGAGAGCGGCGGACGGGUGAGUAAUGCCUAGGAAUCUGCCUGGUGGUGGGGGAUAACGUUCGGAAACGGACGCUAAUACCGCAUACGUCCUACGGGAGAAAGCGGGGGAUCUUCGGACCUCGCGCCAUUAGAUGAGCCUAGGUCGGAUUAGCUAGUUGGUGAGGUAAUGGGCUCACCAAGGCGACGAUCCGUAACUGGUCUGAGAGGAUGAUCAGUCACACUGGAACUGAGACACGGUCCAGACUCCUACGGGAGGCAGCAGUGGGGAAUAUUGGACAAUGGGCGAAAGCCUGAUCCAGCCAUGCCGCGUGUGUGAAGAAGGUCUUCGGAUUGUAAAGCACUUUAAGUUGGGAGGAAGGGUAGUAACCUAAUACGUUGCUACUUUGACGUUACCGACAGAA